rnacentral:rRNA from 1 species
UGGGGAAUUUUGCGCAAUGGGGGAAACCCUGACGCAGCAACGCCGCGUGGACGAUGAAGGCCUUUGGGUCGUAAAGUCCUGUCAGCAGGGAAAAACACAAUGAUGGUACCUGCAGAGGAAGCUCCGGCUAACUUCGUGCCAGCAGCCGCGGUAAUACGAGGGGAGCAAGCGUUGUUCGGAAUCAUUGGGCGUAAAGGGCGCGUAGGCGGCCAGUACAAGUCUGGGGUGAAAGCCCUCGGCUUAACCGAGGAAUUGCCUUAGAAACUGUACGGCUUGAGUAUUGGAGAGGAAAGCGGAAUUCCCAGUGUAGCGGUGAAAUGCGUAGAUAUUGGGAGGAACACCGGUGGCGAAGGCGGCUUUCUGGACAAUCACUGACGCUGAGGCGCGAAAGCCAGGGGAGCAAACGGG